rnacentral:sRNA from 2 species
UUUAAUUGUUUCUAGGGUUCCGAUUUGGUUGAGGUAAUAAUUACUUACCGUUAAGCCAAAUGCUGGUCCAAGAGAAGCAGGUCAACUACCUUUACUAGUGAUGUUAGGUUUAGCUGGCUACACGGAGGGAUAAAAGCCCGGGAGGA